UUAAGAGUGGGGUUAGGUGAGCACAUUAAAAAGCAUUGAUGCAGCUCAGAUUGCACUGCACCAGUUCUGCAUUCAGACCCCUCUCACCCUGCAGGGCACCGGAUCUUCAGUAACGAGAUUGGUAAUCCUUGCACAUGAUGUUCAUAUCUUUAAAUAUUAUUUGAAAAUGUUAAUACAUUUUUAAAUAAUAGUUUAAGAUUUGAACAUAUAAUAACAUUAGUAAAUGUUACAUUAGUAAAAACAAAAGUUUACUAAUCCCAUUAGCCUAUUAGUUCCUCAUCACUACAGCAAGAGUGCUCUUAGGAUUUUGUUAAUGUGGUGGCAUGGGACAGAGGAACUAAUAGGCUCAUGGGAUUAGUAAACAUUUUAUAUUUAAUAGCCAUUUGAUCCUUAAUCAAAUGCUAAGUUUUAUCUUCAUCAUAAUCUACACUACUACACCAUAAAGCAUCUAAGAAACCUGUUUUGAUAUAUUUGCAUUAAAAUUAUGGUUUGUUUAUCUAGAUUCUUUUGGUAAAUUUGUGAACAAAAGUUAUUGAUGAUUGAAGUCAACAGAUAAUGCCAAAAAUAAAAAAUAAAAAUGUCAAGCAACCUCUCAGAUAUCAAUCAAAAUUUGCAAUAUUCCAUCUAGAUAACUUAACUGAAUGUUUUGUCUGGUUUUGUGUGGAUUUAGAUGAACAUUUAUGUUAAUGCUGAUGUUGAUUCUCAUUAGAUUUGCCAGCUGUCACUACUUGGUGGACUCAACUUGCAGGACACUGUGAGACGCAUGUUAAGCCAUGUUUUAACAAACAGGUUGGCAUCCCAUUUUAAUUGGGCUGGACGUGGAAAGAAAAGGAGCUUUGAAGCCUCAAAUUUGCAAAAGACAAUGUUCCGUGCAUUAAGAAAUACUUCCCAGGGGAAAGAAGCAUCAAAAACAGACUUUAGCGAAGUAG